GACGAACGCUGGCGGCGUGCUUAACACAUGCAAGUCGAACGGAAAGGCCCUGCUUUUGUGGGGUGCUCGAGUGGCGAACGGGUGAGUAACACGUGAGUAACCUGCCCUUGACUUUGGGAUAACUUCAGGAAACUGGGGCUAAUACCGGAUAGGAGCUCCUGCUGCAUGGUGGGGGUUGGAAAGUUUCGGCGGUUGGGGAUGGACUCGCGGCUUAUCAGCUUGUUGGUGGGGUAGUGGCUUACCAAGGCUUUGACGGGUAGCCGGCCUGUGAGGGUGACCGGCCACAUUGGGACUGAGAUACGGCCCAAACUCCUACGGGAGGAAGCAGUGGGGAAUAUUGCACAAUGGGCGGAAGCCUGAUGCAGCAACGCCGCGUGCGGGAUGACGGCCUUCGGGUUGUAAACCGCUUUCGCCUGUGACGAAGCGUGAGUGACGGUAAUGGGUAAAGAAGCACCGGCUAACUACGUG
rnacentral:rRNA from 1 species